AUUUGCACUUAUUUAGCUGUGAAGGUGUUUGUUGUCGGAGCCGAUGGUCCUCAGAUCGCAGCUCUCAGCUGCAGUCUGUGUGUGUGCCUUUUCUUUGCGAUUAUUUCCAGAAGUUUUGAAAACUGCUUUAUGGCUUGUGAUGAACAAAAUCUCCUGUGGCACACUAUGCACUGCAUUUACACAAUGCUGUGAUAAAUGCACAGUUGAAAUGAUCAUGCAAUUUUAUUGUUAAAUUUAUUUACCUUGGUGUCCUGUCAGUUUGCAUAGGUUCCUAAUGCUCACCUUAGAUUGGUAAAACUGGCACGUCAUUGUUUAAGCUGAAGUUGUCAAAAAUAUAAAGUGGAAAGUUCAUCCCAAAUUUAAAACUAGUUUUAUUGGUCUUAUUGUGUAUAAACACUUUAUAUUGCAGAUAUGUUAUGCAUGUUUAUUCAGUCUUUAUUAUUACAGUUGUCAUUUUGGAUUAUUGCAUAGUAAGCAAUUCUGUUUUGUUUUGGAGAUUUUUGCGGUAUUGUCUGUUUAUUUUUUCUGUGUCUCUAUGUUAUUUAAUGUUUCUUUCAAGGUGAACUUAUGUCUAAUUCAGGAGUUUAGUAUUUCAUUGAUUCCUCUACUAUUAGAAGGUUUUUUGUUGUGGCCAUCUUGAUAAGCUUGCUGCAUCCUGUAUCUGAAAUAUACCAUUUUAACUCAAUGGAUCCCCUUAAAGAUCUUCUGUUUUCACAGUACUCCCAUGAAUACCAUUGCCUUGUGCUAAGUUCUGCACUAAAUAGUAUUAUCAUUAUAUAUGUCUGAGGGAAAUGACAGUAGAGAUGGGUCAAAAGUAGAAAUGCAUCUUGAACUUAGAGGUCCAGUUUUUGAGAAUUUUCUUAGUGACAUGGAUUUUAACCUGGAAUUUCAUAUAGCCUAUAUGCUUCAAAAAGUUCUAUGGAGCUUGAGUGCUGUGGGACUAUUACCUUUCUCAAUUGUUUUGUCAGGUCUGCUUGUGUAAUACAUUUAUUCUUUGAUUUAAGUUCUUAGGUCUACUCCUUUACUUCAUCAGAUAUUCUUAUUGAUUAGGAAUGCAUAUUAAUGAUGUGGAAUAUAAGUGGUAUAAUUUUGAUUUGAUAAUAAAUAAUUCCAUGGCAGCACAUAUUUUUACUCAAGACAAUGCAUUUUUACUAUAAUAGUGCUCAUAUGAUAAGAUUCAUAAUAAGUGAAGUAAAUAUAUAGCAGAAUCAUCCAUCCGUCCAUUAUCUAUGCCUGAUAUUCCUGGUCAGGGUUGCCGGGGGUGCUGGAUCUCAGCAUGCAUUGAGCGAGAGACGGGAAUACACCCUGGACAGGCAGCCAUUCCGCCAAUGUAUUGCAGGGUAUAUAGCAGAAUCAAUAAUAGUUAAUUGUGUAUAGUGAAAACAGACUUUCCACCUGUCCGCCCCAGUUUCUGUUUUCACAUUCGUGAGACAGAUAAGAGAUCUGAGACUGAUUGAAUCGCGCUUUUGCAUGGGUAUUACCCUGGCUUGUUUCCAAACUUUGGCCAAAACUCCAGUCUGCCGAACGGAGCUUCUUCUCCUGAUAGGAGUAGACCACCCGAGGCCAUAGAGGUUAUGCAUUGACGUCACUUUCCCACCGGAAUACACCCCCUCAGUCGGGAGUGGCAAAACAUGCUGCGACAUGGCUGCCUUUAGUAAAGGAAACUGCAAAACCGGGAGUAAAACAAACGAUUAUCUGCUUAAAUUUAAGGCAAUUGGACUCGACAGUGAUCCUGCACCCACGCGGCGAUAAAGGAGUCGGUCUUAGUAACACAGUAACACAGUCAAUAGCUUAAUGUACACUGCUGCUACAGUAGCCAUGCCAGAAGAACAAAUGAAUUAAUUUCAGAUUGUCUUUAUUUCAUCUUAUCACUGUCCUGUCUCUUUUACCUGUUUACAGUUGCAAUGUUGCAUCACAAUUCAUCUGUUCAGUUGCAAUGACUGCACCAUCUGUGUAUGAAUGGGCACUCCUCCAACACAGUGAAGGGGCAGGUCAGGCGAUGGCUUGCAGUGACUAGCAGUAUGCGUUCUAGGAGAGAGCACACUUGCACUCUCCUGGAUUAUUGGGGGAUGCUACAAUGACUAGAUAGGCAUAUGAAUACCAAUGGAUAUUCCAACAUGGAUAAAUAAUAACACUGCAUGUUGUUUACUUCUGUUACUGCUUCUAGGGAUUCUCAGAUGAACAGAAACAUUUCCUGAAGAGAUGGUAUCAUCACUGUGCCUGUGUGUGGUUGUCUUGAGCCUCAGUGUACUGUUAGUAACUCCGUCUGGUGGAAUUCCUCAGAUGAGCUGUGAUAACACUAGUGUAGAAGCAGGGAGCAGUGCAAUGUUGAACUGUAGCAUAUUGCUCAAUAAAGACUGUAUAUUUAUGCAUUUUCAGUGGAUCGGAAUGGAAGAUUAUCUUCCCUGCGGUAGAAAUAAUACCUCCACUCAUCAAAGGCGCUUCACAUGUAUCGAACAGGAAAAGAACAGCACCUUUAUGAAAUUCUCUCUUUUGAUAAAGAACACGCAGAAGCAGGAUGAAAAGCAGUACCGCUGUUUUGUACGGACUACAUGUGGGGUAAUAUAUAAACUCGCCAGCCUGUCCAUCACAAGUGAAGAAAUACAGGAGGAGAGAAGUUAGUAAGCAAUUUCCUUUUCACACUACAUACAGUGCAGCCCGUAAGUGUUUGGAUAGUCACACAAUUUUUGUUGUUGUGGCUCUGUACUCCAGCACAAUGGAUUCAAAAUGAAAUGAAUAUGAGGUUAAAGUGCAGACUGUCAGCUUUAAUUUGAGGGUAUGGACAUCAAUACCGGGUGAUCCACCGGGUGUAGAAUUAUUACUGUUUUAUUCUUGUUUUUUUGCUGAAGGAGUUGGAACAAUCUAGACUGUAAGAUAUUUGUUUCUGGCUCACACAGUUACUCAUCCCCUUUCAUAGAGGAGCUACAAGCAAUGCUGAAUUUUUAAAAACUCAUAAUUUUAUAUAACCUGAAAAAAUAAAUAUAAGAAUAAUAAGGAUAACAACAUUAACCUUUCAACCCUCAAAAUAAAGAUGACAGUCUGCACUUCAACCUGAUACACUUUCUUUCAUUUCAAAUCCAAUAUGCUGGACGACUACAGAGCCAAAACCACAAAAA